rnacentral:rRNA from 1 species
CCUACGGGUGGCUGCAGUAGGGAAUUUUCGGCAAUGGGGGGAACCCUGACCGAGCAACGCCGCGUGAACGAAGAAGUUAUUCGUAAUGUAAAGUUCUUUUAAUAGGGAAGAAAGAGAAAUUUGACGGUACCUGAAGAAUAAGCUCCGGCUAACUCCGUGCCAGAAGCCGCGGUAAUACGUAGGGAGCGAGCGUUAGCCGGAUUUAUUGGGCGGAAAGGGUGCGUAGAUGGCAUAGUAAGUCUUUUGUAAAAAUGCUGGGCUCAACCCAGUAGGGCAAAAGAUACUGCAAAGCUAGAGUAUAACAGAGGUAAGUGGAACGACAUGGGUAGCGGUGAAAUGCGUAAAUAUAUGUAAGAACACCAGUGGCGAAGGCAGCUUGCUGGGUCGAUACUGACAUUGAGGCACGAAAGCGUGGGGAGCAAACAGGAUUAGAUACCCUAGUAGUC